GGCCGACUAGCUCAGUUGGUUAGAGCGUCGUGCUAAUAUGACGUAGUACGACCGUUAUUAUGCGAAGGUCUUGGGUUCGAUCCCCACGUUGGCCA
rfam:Moniliophthora roreri MCA 2997 sctg_0212_0002, whole genome shotgun sequence.